AAUUCGCCCUUAGAGUUUGAUCCUGGCUCAGAUUGAACGCUGGCGGCAUGCCUUACACAUGCAAGUCGAACGGUAACGCGGGGCAACCUGGCGACGAGUGGCGAACGGGUGAGUAAUAUAUCGGAACGUGCCCAGUCGUGGGGGAUAACUGCUCGAAAGAACAGCUAAUACCGCAUACGACCUGAGGGUGAAAGCGGGGGAUCUUCGGACCUCACGCGAUUGGAGCGGCCGAUAUCAGAUUAGGUAGUUGGUGGGGUAAAGGCCUACCAAGCCGACGAUCUGUAGCUGGUCUGAGAGGACGACCAGCCACACUGGGACUGAGACACGGCCCAGACUCCUACGGGAGGCAGCAGUGGGGAAUUUUGGACAAUGGGGGCAACCCUGAUCCAGCCAUGCCGCGUGCGGGAAGAAGGCCUUCGGGUUGUAAACCGCUUUUGUCAGGGAAGAAAUCCUUUGGGCUAAUAACUCGGAGGGAUGACG
rnacentral:rRNA from 1 species